AUACAUCACGAAUGCGCUAAUUUUGAUCGAGAUGAAAUGAAUGCUCCGUAUGUGAGACAGUAUAUAUUUAACGCAGUGUCCUGAUUUAAAGGCCUAAAAAGGUGACUGUAGGCGAUUUUUUUUUCACAGGGAGAGAAAAAACCUCGGAAAGAACGAAGGUUCAUAAAACUUCGAGUUUAUUUUAACACACAUUUGAAAGACGAAAAUCAGUUAGCCGAAUUUCUCAGUCCGGAACCGACCGCGCAGUAGAGCGGACGUAUGAAAAUCGCGCUCCGCAAAUUUUGAGUACCGGGUUCUCUACCUCCUGGAUCCUGCGCUCCGGGUCCGCUACCUGGUGAAACUCCACUUCCACGACAAGCGCCCCGUAGUUUCUACGCUCCAGGUCCGCUUCCUGGUGAAACUCGACUCCAGGAACAAGCGCUCCGUAAUUUCUGCAUUCAAGCUGCACUACCUGGUGAAACUUGAUUUCCAGGACAAGCGCUCCG